rnacentral:rRNA from 1 species
UGGGGGAUAUUGCACAAUGGGCGAAAGCCUGAUGCAGCGACGCCGCGUGGGGGAUGAAGGCCUUCGGGUUGUAAACUUCUUUUGCUCUGAACAAGGCGCACCAUGGGGUGUGUUGAGUGUAGGGGUUGAUUAGCGCCGGCUAACUACGUGCCAGCAGCCGCGGUAAUACGUAGGGCGCGAGCGUUGUCCGGAAUUAUUGGGCGUAAAGGGCUUGUAGGUGGCUGGUUGCGUCUGUCGUGAAAGCUCAUGGCUUAACUGUGGGUUUGCGUUGGGGACGGGCUGGCUUGAGUGCAGUAGGGGGGGCUGGAAUUCCUGGUGUAGCGGUGGAAUGCGCAGAUAUCAGGAGGAAUACCGGUGGCGAAGGCGGGUCUCUGGGCUGUUACUGACACUGAGGAGCGAAAGCAUGGGGAGCGAACAGG